GGUGUAGGCGGCCUUUCAAGUCGAUUGUAAAAUCUCCCGGCUUAACUGGGAGGGACCAUUCGAUACUGUUGGGCUAGAGUGCAGCAGAGGAAGGUAGAAUUCCCGGUGUAGUGGUGGAAUGCGUAGAUAUCGGGAGGAAUACCAGUGGCGAAGGCGACCUUCUGGGCUGUUACUGACGCUGAGACCCAUAAGCGUGGGGAGCAAACA
rnacentral:rRNA from 1 species